rnacentral:misc_RNA from 1 species
UUGUGGAGGAGGACGCCGAAGGUGGGGCUAAUGACUGGGGUGAAGUCGUAACAAGGUAGCCGUACCGGAAGGUGCGGCUGGAUCACCUCCUAACAGGGAGACAACAAAAUGUUUAAUAUUAUUAUUUUGUCACCUUAGGUCGAUCGGUAUCUCACGUUCUUAAUUUGUUAAGAAUUUCAUUUCCUAAGUUUUUCUAGGUCACACCCAUUAUUUUUCCUGGGCCAUUAGCUCAGGUGGUUAGAGCGCACCCCUGAUAAGGGUGAGGUCCCUGGUUCAAGUCCAGGAUGGCCCAUAUCUCUAUGUUGGGGGUAUAGCUCAGUUGGUAGAGCGCCUGCUUUGCAAGCAGGAUGUCAGCGGUUCGAGUCCGCUUACCUCCACUGAUUACCACCUCUUACAUAACUGGUAAAAAGGAAAUGUUUUGAGUUGUGAUCAUUAUUCUGAACGAAUCUAGCUUCCUAAUGAAAUCAUUAAGAUGCUGGACUCAUUGAAUUAAUUUCAUUGUUUUCAGAGAACCUUGACAACUGCAUAGAUUAUUUUUAAAGACAAUAAGCAUCUUUAAUGAUGCAGAUUUAUUAUUUGUGCGAAUGCAUUAAUAACAAUUCUAUUAAGCUGAUGCUUCAAUUUUUUGAAGUUAUUGGUCAAGCUACAA